UACGUAGGAGGCAAGCGUUGUCCGGAAUUACUGGGCGUAAAGCGCGUGUAGGUGGUGGGACAAGUCUGCUGUGAAAGCGCCUGGCUUAACCGGGCGAGGUCGGCGGAAACUGUUCGACUCGAGGACGGUAGAGGGGGGUGGAAUUCCCGGUGUAGCGGUGAAAUGCGUAGAUAUAGGAAGGAACGCCAGUGGCGAAGGCGACCACCUGGACUGAUACUGACACUGAGGUGCGAAAGCGUGGGGAGCAAACAGG
rnacentral:rRNA from 1 species